rnacentral:rRNA from 4 species
GCCCCCCUCAAGAUGAGAUUUCCCAUAGCGUAAGCUAGUAAGAUCCCUGAAAGAUGAUCAGGUUGAUAGGUUCGAGGUGGAAGCAUGGUGACAUGUGGAGCUGACGAAUACUAAUAGAUCGAGGACUUAACCAUAUAA